GGGUCGAUAGCUCAAUUGGAUAGAGCAACAGCCUUCUAAGCUGUAGGUUGCAGGUUCGAUUCCUGCUCGACUCA
rnacentral:tRNA from 1 species